rnacentral:rRNA from 1 species
AACGAACGCUGGCGGCAGGCCUAAAACAUGCAAGUCGAACGAACCUUCGGGUUAGUGGCGCACGGGUGAGUAACACGUGGGAAUGUGCCUCUGGGUGCGGAACAACGUCGGGAAACUGACGCUAAUACCGCAUAAUGUCUACGGACCAAAGAUUUAUUGCCCAGAGAUCAGCCCGCGUCUGAUUAGCUAGUUGGUGAGGUAACGGCUCACCAAGGCGACGAUCAGUAGCUGGUCUGAGAGGAUGAUCAGCCACACUGGAACUGAGACACGGUCCAGACUCCUACGGGAGGCAGCAGUUAGGAAUAUUGGACAAUGGGGGCAACCCUGAUCCAGCCAUGCCGCGUGUGUGAAGAAGGCCUUAGGGUUGUAAAGCACUUUCGGCUGUGAAGAUAAUGACAGUAGCAGAAGAAGAAGCUCCGGCUAAAUUCGUGCCAGCCGCCGCCGUAA